GUUACCUUGUAGCAAUAGGAGCUUGACCUUGACCCAAUGACAACGCAUGGAAUCUGUGAGCCAUUCCACAUUGUUCAGCAAGUUGUAGAAGACCGCUGGUUGGAUCCUGUGAAGGAAAAAAACAUUGGAUAUUACGCAAAUGAAUGGAUUGAAUGAACAGAAAACCACCAUGAAAUCAAAUUACCACGCCAGGAGAGAGAACGAAAAUAAGUGGACUUUUCGUUGUGCUGUCAUCAAUAACUUGUCUCAUAUCAAGUACUGGUGGUUCAACAAAUUUUGCUCCAAGAUUAUUUACGAUAAAACUCGUAGAACAGAACGACACUCUGUCUGAUCUGAGAGAUCGAACAAUCAACAUACGUUGCAGUUCAUUACACGUGUUGUCCCACUCACCUGGUUAAUUUAUUUUCGGAGGUAACAUAACGAAAGCGUGCAAGAUUGGUAAACAACAAGCUUGAAGCAAAGUGGAUUAGGCCAACAUUGAAGACAAUCUAAGAAAUGACCAAUAAACCACGAUUGCACUGCCCAUAUCAAAGCAAUGGGUAAAUCAUGAUAAAAGGGUUGUUAUGUCAUAUACAUGGGUUGACCAUGGGCUCACAUUCCCCGCAGUUCGAUUUUACGAUCCUAGGUUUAAAAGACAACAACAAAGGAUUCAAAAU